UCGGGACACGUGCAGAGAGCGGAAGCCGGGAAUGGGAUCCCGGUGCAAGCGAGGUACCAGCCGCAUUGGAAAAACCGUGCGGCAAUGGGAAGACGUGAUGCGGAGUGAAGUUUAGUAAUGAAGUCCGUGAGCUGUGCGUCAAGGAAAGCCGCUAUUGUUCAUACCAUACCCGUACCGUAAACCGACACAGGUGGAUGAGGAGAGAAUCCUAAGGCCGGCGGAAGAAGCAUUGUCAAGGAACUCGGCAAAAUGACCCCGUAACUUCGGGAGAAGGGGUGCCUGCGAGAGCAGGCCGCAGAGAAUAGGCUCAAGCAACUGUUUAGCAAAAACACAGGUCUAUGCGAAACCGAAAGGUGAGGUAUAUGGGCUGACGCCUGCCCGGUGCUGGAAGGUUAAGAGGAGAGGUUAGCGGUAACGCGAAGCUUUGAAUUUAAGCCCCAGUAAACGGCGGCCGUAACGAUAACGGUCCUAAGGUAGCGAAAUUCCUUGUCGGGUAAGUUCCGACCCGCACGAAAGGCGUAAUGAUUUGAGCGCUGUCUCGACAAUGCAUCCGGUGAAAUUGAAGUACCAGUGAAGAUGCUGGUUACCUGCGCCAGGACGGAAAGACCCCAUGGAGCUUUACUCCAGUUUGGUACUGGGAUCCGGUACUGCAUGUACAGGAUAGGUGGGAGGCUGAGAAUCGGUAACGCCAGUUGCCGAGGAGCCGCUGUUGGGAUACCACCCUUGCAGUAUUGGGUUUCUAACCAGCCGCCGUGACCCGGCGGUGGGACAAUGCCAGACGGGGAGUUUGACUGGGGCGGUCGCCUCCGAAAGGGUAUCGGAGGCGCCCAAAGGUUCCCUCAGGAUGGACGGAAACCAUCCAAAGAGUGCAAAGGCAGAAGGGAGCUUGACUGCGACACCGACGGGUGGAGCAGGUACGAAAGUAGGGCUUAGUGAUCCGGUGGUAUUAAGUGGGAAUGCCAUCGCUCAACGGAUAAAAGCUACCCUGGGAUAACAGGCUUAUCACUCCCAAGAGUUCACAUCGACGGAGUGGUUUGGCACCUCGAUGUCGGCUCAUCGCAUCCUGGGGCUGUAGUAGGUCCCAAGGGUUGGGCUGUUCGCCCAUUAAAGCGGUACGCGAGCUGGGUUCAGAACGUCGUGAGACAGUUCGGUCCCUAUCCGGCGUGGGCGUAGGACAUCUGAGAGGAGCUGUCCUUAGUACGAGAGGACCGGGAUGGACGGGCCGCUGGUGCACCGGUUAGACUGCCAAGUCUAUAGCCGGGUAGCCAAGCCCGGAAGGGAUAAACGCUGAAGGCAUCUAAGCGUGAAGCCCCCCUCAAGAUGAGAUAUCCCAUCCGAAAGGAGUAAACCCCCUUGAAGACGACGAGGUUGAUAGGGCAGAGGUGGAAGUGUGGUAACACAUGGAGCUGACUGCUACUAAUAGGGUGAGGGCUUGAUC
rnacentral:rRNA from 1 species